UACAGAGGGUGCAAGCGUUAAUCGGAAUUACUGGGCGUAAAGCGCGCGUAGGUGGUUCGUUAAGUUGGAUGUGAAAGCCCCGGGCUCAACCUGGGAACUGCAUUCAAAACUGUCGAGCUAGAGUACGGUAGAGGGUGGUGGAAUUUCCUGUGUAGCGGUGAAAUGCGUAGAUAUAGGAAGGAACACCAGUGGCGAAGGCGGCUCUCUAAUUUACAACUGACGCUGAGGCAUGAGAGUGUGGGGAGCAAACAGG
rnacentral:rRNA from 1 species